rnacentral:rRNA from 1 species
UACGAAGGGGGCUAGCGUUGCUCGGAAUUACUGGGCGUAAAGCGCGCGUAGGCGGACCUGCAAGUCGGGGGUGAAAGCCCGAGGCUCAACCUCGGAACUGCCUUCGAUACUGCGGGUCUCGAGUCCGGGAGAGGUGAGUGGGAAUUCCUAGUGUUAGAGGUGAAAUUGUAGAUAUUAGGAAAGAACACCAAGUGGCGAAGGCGGCUAGCACUGU